AGCUUUGCGCAGUGGCAGUAUCGUAGCCAAUGAGGUUUAUCCGAGGCGCGAUUAUUGCUAAUAAGCAAGCUGGUUACUUUGGUAUGUAGUUUUCUCCAUAAUCAGGUCAUAAGUCAUAGAAAUAGAGUUAGGCAGACAGGGCUUCAAAUUAUGUUCUCAUAUUUAUUAAAUGUGUGAUAUUUGGUAAGACUAGGAUAUUUAGGUUUCAGUAAAAUGA
rnacentral:snRNA from 1 species